GGAUAAACACGAAGUGUUUGUAUGACAGUUGACAGUACUGUGAGUAGAGUUGGAGAUGAUAGUUAGUGUCGGUCGUAUUUAGUUGUUCAGCAGAAGUUUGGUGAUUGAUAAUACAUACCGUCUCGUCAUGGCAGACAGCGAGGAAAAAGCACUGAUGCUAAUGUCAGAAGCGGAGAAGAAAUCGAAAUCAGCUAAAGGAUUUUUGGGGACUUUAAUGGGAGGGAACGAUAGCACAGAUGAAGCCAUCGACUAUUAUGAAAGGGCAGGAAAUUUAUUCAAAAUGAAUAAAAAUUGGGACAGUGCCGCAGACGCCUAUCUUCAGGCUGCGAAACUACAGAAAAGGGUAGGUAGACAGCACGACGCAGUGAUGAAUAAAGUUACAGCCGCUAACUGCUUCAAGAAAACGAAUCCGCAAGAGGCUGUACAUUGCUUGUUGGAAGUUGUCGAGUUCUACAAAGAGACUGGGAAGUUUGUUAUGGCUGCCAAACAACACCAAGCGUUAGCAGAAUUGUAUGAGAAACAGCUCUUGAACUGGCAGCAAACCGUACAUCAUUAUCAAGAAGCGGCCGAUAUGUUUUCUGCAGAAAAUAGCACAGCCUCGGCGACCAAAUGUCUAUUGAAGGUAGCAGAAUAUUCUCUUCAACAGGAAAACUACACGAAGGCUAUUCAGAUUUAUGAGGAUGUUGCUGAAGCUGCCCUUCGUAGCGCCUUGCUAAAAUAUAGUGCCACUGAUUAUUUCUUCAGGGCAGCAUUAUGUCAUUUUUGUGUUGACACACUGAACGCACAUAACGCCUUGAUGCGAUAUGCAGAUAUGCAUCCAGCAUUCGAAGAAUCGAGAGAAUAUAAGUUGCUGAAAACUCUGAUUCAGCACGCAGAAAAUGAAGAUGUUGACGCUUUUUCGGAGGCAAUCAUUAGUUACAAUUCAGUAUACCGAAUGGAUGAAUCUUACAUGAAAAUCCUUGAAAAGAUAAAAAGCCACAUUGAUAGUGUUGAUCUUCGAUAAGCAGGAUAUUUGACGUUCCUUUGCAGUAUUUUAUCGCUCGUUGUGAAGAGUUGUGACAAAAAUUGUAGAUUAUUUAGAGAACAGUCAUUAUUAAAGAAUUCUGUGCUGUGA